rnacentral:rRNA from 1 species
CCUACGGGUGGCAGCAGUGAGGAAUAUUGGUCAAUGGGCGCGAGCCUGAACCAGCCGAGUCGCGUGAGGGAUGAAGGUUCUAUGGAUCGUAAACCUCUUUUAUAAGGGAAUAAAGUGUGGGACGUGUCCUAUUUUGUAUCUACCUUAUGCAUAAGGAUCGGCUAACUCCGUGCCAGCAGCCGCGGUAAUACGGAGGAUCCGGGCGUUAUCCGGAUUUAUUGGGUUUAAAGGGUGCGUAGGCGGCCUUUUAAGUCAGCGGUGAAAUGCUGUGGCUCAACCAGAGAAUUGCCGUUGAAACUGGGGGGCUUGAGUAUGUGUGAGGCAGGCGGAAUGCGUGGUGUAGCGGUGAAAUGCGUAGAUAUCAGGCAGAACCCCGAUUGCGAAGGCGGCCUGCCAGGCCAUGACUGACGCUGAUGCACGAAAGCGUGGGGAUCAAACAGGAUUAGAUACCCGAGUAGUC